rnacentral:rRNA from 1 species
UACAGAGGGCUCAAGCGUUGUUCGGAUUCAUUGGGCGUAAAGGGCGCGUAGGCGGCUUGCUAAGUCAAAGGUGAAAUCCCUCGGCUCAACUGAGGAACUGCCUUUGAAACUAGCGAGCUUGAGGCCGGGAGGGGGUAGCGGAAUUCCCAGUGUAGCGGUGAAAUGCGUAGAUACUGGGAGGAACACCAGUGGCGAAGGCGGCUACCUGGACCGGUACUGACGCUGAGGCGCGAAAGCGUGGGUAGCAAACAGG